rnacentral:rRNA from 1 species
GACGAACGCUGGCGGCGUGCUUAACACAUGCAAGUCGAACGGUAAGGCUCCAGCUUGCUGGGGUACACGAGUGGCGAACGGGUGAGUAACACGUGGGUGACCUGCCCUGCACUUCGGGAUAAGCCUGGGAAACUGGGUCUAAUACCGGAUAGGACCGCACCGUGAGGGUGUGGUGGAAAGUUUUUUCGGUGUGGGAUGGGCCCGCGGCCUAUCAGCUUGUUGGUGGGGUAAUGGCCUACCAAGGCGGCGACGGGUAGCCGGCCUGAGAGGGUGGACGGCCACAUUGGGACUGAGACACGGCCCAGACUCCUACGGGAGGCAGCAGUGGGGAAUAUUGCACAAUGGGUGGAAGCCUGAUGCAGCGACGCCGCGUGGGGGAUGACGGCCUUCGGGUUGUAAACUCCUUUCACCAUCGACGAAGGGUUUCUGACGGUAGAUGGAGAAGAAGCACCGGCUAACUACGUGCCAGCAGCCGCGGUAAUACGUAGGGUGCGAGCGUUGUCCGGAAUUACUGGGCGUAAAGAGCUCGUAGGUGGUUUGUCGCGUCGUCUGUGAAAUUCCGGGGCUUAACUCCGGGCGUGCAGGCGAUACGGGCAUAACUUGAGUACUGUAGGGGAGACUGGAAUUCCUGGUGUAGCGGUGAAAUGCGCAGAUAUCAGGAGGAACACCGGUGGCGAAGGCGGGUCUCUGGGCAGUAACUGACGCUGAGGAGCGAAAGCAUGGGGAGCGAACAGGAUUAGAUACCCUGGUAGUCCAUGCCGUAAACGGUGGGCGCUAGGUGUGGGUUUCCUUCCACGGGAUCCGUGCCGUAGCUAACGCAUUAAGCGCCCCGCCUGGGGAGUACGGCCGCAAGGCUAAAACUCAAAGGAAUUGACGGGGGCCCGCACAAGCGGCGGAGCACGUGGAUUAAUUCGAUGCAACGCGAAGAACCUUACCUGGGCUUGACAUAUACAGGAUCGCGCCAGAGAUGGUGUUUCCCUUGUGGCUUGUAUACAGGUGGUGCAUGGUUGUCGUCAGCUCGUGUCGUGAGAUGUUGGGUUAAGUCCCGCAACGAGCGCAACCCUCGUCUUAUGUUGCCAGCACGUUGUGGUGGGGACUCGUAAGAAACUGCCGGGGUUAACUCGGAGGAAGGUGGGGAUGACGUCAAAUCAUCAUGCCCCUUAUGUCCAGGGCUUCACACAUGCUACAAUGGUCGGUACAGUGGGUUGCCAGUCCGUGAGGGCGAGCUAAUCCCGCAAAGCCGGUCUCAGUUCGGAUCGGGGUCUGCAACUCGACCCCGUGAAGUCGGAGUCGCUAGUAAUCGCAGAUCAGCAACGCUGCGGUGAAUACGUUCCCGGGCCU